ACUCGGGGCUGUUUGGUUUGUCCAUAAUCGCAGAUUUUCUACUCGAAUGUUCUCAUAUUUAUGUAUGCAUGCUAGACGAUACAAUGCCCACAGUAACAGCAACAACAACUACAACAAUAACGACAACAAUUGUGUCUAUGAACAUUUGAAAAAUUUCCACUGCAACUUGAGUUUAUGUUUUAUUUAUUAUUUAGUUUUGCUGCCGUUUGCCUGUCCCGUUUGACGAACCGGUUCGAGCAGGUUCUCUUUUAACUAUGUGCUGCAAUCUGAACUGCAUCAUGGCUACAGGAGAAAACUAAACAUGGCUCAAAAGACAAUUCUGAUUAAAACAGUUUUUAUUUAGCCUGGAACUGCAGAAUUAUGAAACUAAUCAGAAAAGGGCCAAAAGUGAAUCAUACUUUGGUGUAGACAGUCUAGAACCAAAGUCAGUUUCAAUUUGAACAGGGAUUUUUUUUUGAGAUCCGGUCGGAACUGAAUCACAUUUUAUAUUUAUGCAAUAUACAAAGUUCUUUAAAGUGGUUAAUUUUUUAAGCCUAUAUAAUUUCCAGCUAUAAACAUUCUUGUUAUGCUGACAGAAAUAACUACGAGAAAAUCAUAGCUAAACAUAAAGUCAUCCACAUUUCUUAUUUGGUUUAUAGAUUCCAUUCAAUUUAGUUUUCGUAUCCUAUAAAAUGACUCCAGCUCACGUUUCUUCCAAUGAAAAUAUACAAACAUUGUUUUAAAGCCUUCAAUUAUUUUUUAUUUAAACAUUUGAAAUAUUUAUUUUGUAUACGUAUAUAUAAUUUUUGUUUUUUUUUUUCAGGCUAAGCAGAUUUAAUUAUCAUAGUUUUUUAAGCAAUGAUUUAGGUCCAUCAGCGCAAGAACUUAAUUGUAAGCAUAGGUAUUUUAUCAUUAGCUGAUCAUCACAACAAAAUUAUAUAUUAAUAAAUUAUAAAUGUAAACGAAAUACGAAAUUAUCAUUUUUAAAAUUAUAAAU